ACUACGGAGAGUUUGAUCCUGGCUCAGGAUGAACGCUAGCGGGAGGCCUAAUACAUGCAAGUCGAACGGUAAAUAGUAGCAAUACUAUGAGAGUGGCGUACGGGUGCGUAACGCGUACACAAUCUGCCCUGUACUGGGGGAUAGCCUCGGGAAACUGAGAUUAAUACCCCAUAAUUUUACGAGAGAGCAUUCUUUUGUAAUUAAAGCUCCGGCGGUACAGGAUGAGUGUGCGUCCGAUUAGGUAGUUGGUGAGGUAACGGCUCACCAAGCCGACGAUCGGUAGCUGGUCUGAGAGGACGAUCAGCCACACGGGCACUGAGACACGGGCCCGACUCCUACGGGAGGCAGCAGUAGGGAAUAUUGGACAAUGGAGGCAACUCUGAUCCAGCCAUCCCGCGUGAAGGAUUAAGGCCCUAUGGGUUGUAAACUUCUUUUCUUUGGGAAUAAAAAGCGGUAUUCAUAUCGCCUUGAAGGUACCAGGGGAAUAAGCACCGGCUAACUCCGUGCCAGCAGCCGCGGUAAUACGGAGGGUGCAAGCGUUAUCCGGAUUCACUGGGUUUAAAGGGUGCGUAGGUGGUCUGUUAAGUCAGCGGUGAAAGCCUGGAGCUCAACUCCAGAAUUGCCAUUGAUACUGACGGACUUGAAUCAAGUUGAGGUGGAUGGAAUAUUACAUGUAGCGGUGAAAUGCUUAGAUAUGUAAUAGAACACCGAUUGCGAAGGCAGUUCACUAAGCUUGCAUUGACACUGAGGCACGAAAGCGUGGGGAUCAAACAGGAUUAGAUACCCUGGUAGUCCACGCCCUAAACGAU
rnacentral:rRNA from 1 species